ACGAGAUGACACCUUGUUCUUUAGGGCCAAUCACAGUUGUGUCAAUCCAAAGAAAUAUCUUCUGCCGAAUCUGCUGGGGCACUGCGUCACUUGCCCCCAAUGCAAACUUUCCAUUGUAUGAAGACUUUUCAACCAUUUCCUCCCAUACACACACACACACACACACACACACGAAAGCCUUCUUAUGAGUUAUUUUGUCAAUGAUAACAAAGGUUACAGAGGUCCAUGUUGCACUUUGGACGGCGGCGGCAGCGGACCUGGAAGGUCACACAAAGAAAAACUUGUCUGAUUGGAGUCACAGCUGCUGUACGUACCGAUGAAGAAGAGCACAAAGACAACGGUGAAGACGACGAGGAGGAAAGUCGGCGCCUCGGUGGGGGAAAGUGAGCGUCGAGCGUUGUCUCGUCGUUUCGUUCCGAAGGGGUCUUAUCAGGAAGGUUCCGUCCUACGCACGGCAACAAACCUUCGAGACAUACAAAAUAACACCAGCAGAGGCCCAGCAGCUUCUGGAAGCGGGCCGCGACGCCUUGUCCGGUCUGUCCCAUCUCGCAUUGUCAUAUCAAUGCCUUGCGGAAGAACGGGCGCUGAGGAAUACUUUAUACCACAAUUGUUCAUCAAAGGCUAGGUAGAUUUACC